UAAAUAUUAAUUGACUUAUUUCUAGGUAUUAUAAUUUUUUGUGAGAGCCUCCAACCAAAGCUAUAUCCAAACGUAUUGUAACCACAUGAAAUGAGAAUAAACUGUAGUCCAUCCUCCCACUUAUUUACACUUUUUAUAUCUGGUUUCAGCUACAGCUGAUAACACACCCUCAUGAUAAAAGUGCGACAAUGUUGUAGCACAUGUGUACCACCAGGCUGGCUCUGCUGACGGAAUAUGUAACAUAUGCGGAAACCUGUGUUGAUAACUGAGGAAAAACAGGUCGACCAGCCUGAGGAAAGACUUGGAGCAGGAACUGCAUUGAAUGAGAACCACCUCUAAAAUGCUUGGGAGCAAGAAAAAAAUUCUACGAUUUCUACAUGAAAUUUCUGCAAGUCAUAGAUCUGGGCAGAAGGUGGGCACCACUGGUGCAUUUGCAGAUUUUAAGCAUGUUGGAAAACCAUCGCAGGCAGGACUCACUCUGCCUUGUUAAUUUUAUAUCCUGUGCAUUCAGCCAAGAGGUGAAGUAUGGCCAGAGAUUUUCUGUGCAACUUGCCACAGCAAGGAGAUCCAGCCCAUGAGGUCUAAAAGCAUGGAAGGGAGUAUAUGUGAUGU